rnacentral:lncRNA from 1 species
CGGCUGAAGAACGUUGUCCCACUUGUCGGUAUUCAUAUGUGCUCCUAUAUCCCAUUUUUUUUCUUUGAUUUCUCAUGGAAACUUAUUGGUGCCGCCUAAAUUUAAUUAGAAUAGGCUGGUCCUACAACAAAGGAGAGCCCCUGCUUAUACAUAGCGCCAGAGCAUCUGCAGGUUCAGGGCCGCACAACAAACUGACGUAUAUAUAUGCAUUUGGGUGCUUAUCCUUGAGGUGGUUUCUGGCAACAAGAGUUCAGACGUUCCAGCAGAGGAUAUGGCCACAUCAGUCUCUGGGUGCGCCGAGGAUAGGCUACUGGAGGCCUUAGAUGGUGGUCUGUUUGUCUCAGGGAAAUAA